rnacentral:rRNA from 1 species
GUUAGGAAUAUUGGACAAUGGGCGCAAGCCUGAUCCAGCCAUGCCGCGUGAGAGAUGAAGGCCUUCGGGUUGUAAAGCUCUUUAGCCGAUGAUUAUAAUGACUGUAGUCGGAAAAUAAGCCCCGGCUAACUUCGUGCCAGCAGCCGCGGUAAUACGAAGGGGGCGAGCGUUAUUCGGAAUCACUGGGCGUAAAGCGUGCGUAGGCGGCUUUGCAAGUUGGGAGUGAAAGCCCAGGGCUCAACCCUGGAAUUGCUCUCAAAACUGCAAGGCUCGAAUUCGGGAGAGGAUAGCGGAAUUGUCAGUGUAGCAGUGAAAUGCGUAGAUAUUGACAGGAACACCAGUGGCGUAAGCGGCUAUCUGGACCGAUAUUGACGCUGAGGCACGAAAGCGUGGGGAUCAAACAGGAUUAGAUACCCCUGUAGUCC